rnacentral:tRNA from 1 species
GGUUAAGACACGGCCCUUUCACGGCUGUAACAUGGGUUCGAUUCCCGUACGGGUCACCA